GAUGAACGCUGGCGGCGUGCCUAAUACAUGCAAGUCGAGCGAACAGACGAGGAGCUUGCUCCUCUGACGUUAGCGGCGGACGGGUGAGUAACACGUGGAUAACCUACCUAUAAGACUGGGAUAACUUCGGGAAACCGGAGCUAAUACCGGAUAAUAUAUUGAACCGCAUGGUUCAAUAGUGAAAGACGGUUUUGCUGUCACUUAUAGAUGGAUCCGCGCCGCAUUAACUAGUUGGUAAGGUAACGGCUUACCAAGGCAACGAUGCGUAGCCGACCUGAGAGGGGGAUCGGCCACACUGGAACUGAGACACGGUCCAGACUCCUACGGGAGGCAGCAGGAGGGAAUCUUCCGCACUGGGCGAAAGCCUGACGUAGCAACGCCGCGUGAGUGAUGAAGGUCUUCGGAUCGUAAAACUCUGUUAUUAGGGAAGAACAAAUGUGUAAGUAACUAUGCACGUCUUGACGGUACCUAAUCAGAAAGCCACGGCUAACUACGU
rnacentral:rRNA from 1 species